AAACAAUUUACAUUGCAGUGGUUUGAAAACGAAAGCUCUUAGGUCGUAUCUUACAUAACCAAGCUUCACAUGCGUAGGUAUUUGCUCUUGAUCAAAAAACAACAGAACAGACAGACCUUCUUAUUUUUCUCCAUUCGCCCAGCGGGUCAGACGCCAGAAACCAACCACACCAGGAAUUCUCUUCAGACACGAAUUCAUUCAAGCAGCACUUUGAGAGCAAGCAUCCCAAGUCUACAAUGGUCCCAGUACUGGUUGAUGUGCAAGCCUAAGUGUACCUACAGCUGGGACACAUGAUGACCACGAUUUGAAUGCUGCAACUGAGACGGAAUGACAUUGAGGGACACACGCGAGACCCCGAGUAUGACUGAACAUGGGCCGGAUAGUUGUGAUAACGACCUAAAAGAGGUGCAGAAGCACACCAGCACCCCAUUCUAUGUGUAUUCCAUGGCCAACCAUCUCUCUAACUACCUCUUAUUCUACACUGUAACUACCCCUUAUUCCACACAACUCCACACAACUCCAACACCAUCAAGUUCAUUGACAACUCAACGGUGGAAGGCCUGACCAGGCCUACAGGGGGGAGGUCAGUGACCUGGGAGUGUGGUGCUGGAGCAACAACCUCUCCCUCAAUGUCAGCAAGAUCAAGGAGCUGAUCAUGGACUACAGGAAAACGGGGGUGAGCACGCCCCCAUCCACAUCGACGGGGCGGCAGUGGAGCAGGUAGCUACUGCUACUCUCUGGUUAUCAUAUAUGCAUAGUCUCUUUAACCAUAUCUACAUGUACAUACUACCUCAGUCAGCCCGACUAACCGUUGCCUGUAUGUAGCUUUGCUACCGUAUAUAUCCUCGCUACUGUUAUUUUUCACUGUCUUUUUACUGUUGUUUUUAUUUCUUUACUUACCUAUUGUUCACCUUAUACCUUUUUUUGUUGUUGAAAUUGCACUGUUGGUUAGAGCCUGUAAGUAAGCAUUUCACUGUAAGGUCUACACAUGUUGUAUUCGGCGCACAUGACAAAUAAACUUUGAUUUGAUUUGAG
rnacentral:lncRNA from 1 species